GUGGGGAAUAUUGGACAAUGGGCGAAAGCCUGAUCCAGCCAUGCCGCGUGUGUGAAGAAGGCUUUCGGGUUGUAAAGCACUUUCAGCGAGGAAGAAAGCCUCUGGGUUAAUACCCCAGAGGAAGGACAUCACUCGCAGAAGAAGCACCGGCUAACUCCGUGCCAGCAGCCGCGGUAAUACGGAGGGUGCGAGCGUUAAUCGGAAUUACUGGGCGUAAAGCGCGCGUAGGUGGCUUGGCACGCCGGUUGUGAAAGCCCCGGGCUCAACCUGGGAACGGCAUCCGGAACGGCCAGGCUAGAGUGCAGGAGAGGAAGGUAGAAUUCCCGGUGUAGCGGUGAAAUGCGUAGAGAUCGGGAGGAAUACCAGUGGCGAAGGCGGCCUUCUGGCCUGACACUGACACUGAGGUGCGAAAGCGUGGGUAGCAAACAGGAUUAGAAACCCGUGUAGUCC
rnacentral:rRNA from 1 species